GUUCUGAUGUUGUACUGUUAUACCACUGUCCCAGGUUAGGGGGAGGGUUGCGAUCCCGCUAACAUGUUUAACCCCGCCACAUUAUUUAUGUAUGUGCCUGUCCCCAGUCAGGAGCCUGUAAUUCAGUGGUUGUCGUUUGUUUAUGUGUUCCAUAUUUGUUUUUCGUUCAUUUUUUUAUAUAUAUAUCAAUAAGGCCGUUAGUUUUCUCGUUUGAAUUGUCUACAUUGUCUUAUCGGGGCCUUUUAUAGCUGACUAUGCGAUAUGGGCUUUGCUAAUAGU
rnacentral:lncRNA from 1 species